rnacentral:rRNA from 1 species
CUACGUGCCAGCAGCCGCGGUAAUACGUAGGUGGCAAGCGUUGUCCGGAAUUAUUGGGCGUAAAGCGCGCGCAGGCGGAUUGGUCAGUCUGUCUUAAAAGUUCGGGGCUUAACCCCGUGAUGGGAUGGAAACCGCCAAUCUAGAGUAUCGGAGAGGAAAGUGGAAUUCCUAGUGUAGCGGUGAAAUGCGUAGAUAUUAGGAAGAACACCAGUGGCGAAGGCGACUUUCUGGACGAAAACUGACGCUGAGGCGCGAAAGCCAGGGGAGCGAACGGGAUUAGAUACCCCGGUAGUCCUGGCCGUAAACGAUGGGUACUAGGUGUAGGAGGUAUCGACCCCUUCUGUGCCGGAGUUAACGCAAUAAGUACCCCGCCUGGGGAGUACGACCGCAAGGUUGAAACUCAAAGGAAUUGACGGGGGCCCGCACAAGCGGAGGAACAUGUGGUUUAAUUCGAUGAUACGCGAGGAACCUUACCCGGGCUUGAA